AAGGGCGACAAGGCCGCUAAGAACACCGGCGAGAUCAACAACGAGAAGGCGCAGCUGCAUGUGCGCGAAAUCGAGCUGCGCCUGAAGGGCUUGAUCACGGGCAAGGCGCGGGGCUUCACCAUCCCGCUGUCCGUGGAGGGCCAAGUCAGUCUGCUCAUCUCUGAAGCCACGGCAGACAAGAACCUCUGCCAGAUGUACAUAGGAUGGGCGCCCUACCUUUAACUAUAGGAUAAGCGUCCUACCUUUAACUGUAGGAUGGGCGACAAGAACCUCUGCCAGAUGUACAUAGGAUGGGCUCCCUACCUUUAACUAUAGGAUGGCAGACAAGAACCUCUGCCAGAUGUACAUAGGAUGGGCUCCCUACCUUUAACUGUAGGAUGGGCACCCUACCUUUAACUGUAGGAUGGGCGCCCUACCUUUAACUAUAGGGUGGGCGAUAUGAACCUCUGCCAGAUGUACAUAGGAUGGGCUCCCUACCUUUAACUGUAGGAUGGGCGCCCUACUUUUAACUGUAGGAUGGGCGCCCUACCUUUAACUAUAGGAUGGCCGACAGGAACCUCUGCAAGAUGUACAUAGGAUGGGCGCCCUACCUUUAACUGUAGGAUGGGCGCCCUACCUUUAACUGUAGGAUGGGCACCCUACCUUUAACUGUAGGAUGGGCACCUUACCUCUAACUGUAGGAUGGGCGCACUACCUCUAACCAGUGUCAGUGCGUCCUGUUUGUUAGAUAUGACUGAGCGCCCUACCUUUAACCAUUAAAAAUACCUGUUUUGAGGUCCUGUUCAGUUGUAUGGUAUUUUUAGGUCCUGUAUUGGUAUUAUUAGGUCCUGUUCGUUGAGUAUGGCUGCAAGCCUUACCUAGAUCUGUUGGAAAUGCCAUGGCCUGGUAUCAGUAGGUAGUUUGUUGGGUAUAGAUAGCCACUUCAUUUUUAUCACCAUCAAAAAUUCCUUGCCAUGUGGUAUCAGUAGGUCCUGUUUGUUGGGUAUAGAUGGCCACUUCACCUUUAUCACCAUCAGAAAUACCCUGCCAUGUGGUAUCAGUAGGUCCUUUUUAUCGAGGAUAUAACAAUUAUAUAAAGGCUUAUUUAUAGUUCUGUAAAAUGACAUGUUUUUGGCAUCAGUGGAUCAUGUUAGUAGUUUAAGAAUGGAAGCCUUACUGUCACUUUUUACAAGUGCCAUGUGUUGGGUGUUAUUGAAUCAUGUUCGUAGAGUAUGGAUGGAAGCUUUACUUGUAAUCAUGAAAUAUACUCAGUGUUUGAGUCACAUGACUUGGUUAAUUAUAUGUCUUCAAGUUCAAAAUGUCUACACAAGUAGGCAUUAAACAAGUAUAUGGAGCCAAAUACUGAGGAAUUGUUUAGAUACAAUUUUUUGGUCCAUUGGAACCUAUGCCUAGACGUUGUCUGGGCUAACAUAAGUUGUAAAUUCAAAUCGAAUCGCUAACAAUUCGUAGAUUUUAUCGGUUAAGAGUUUCAAGACUUCAUAUCAGUUAAUUAAAUGAGGAAUAUUUGUAAAUUUGGUUUGGUAAAAAGCCCUUCUCCAUGAUGAAAAAAACUAAAUUUAAACGGAAAAAUAUAUUUUUGUAUAUUGGACUCAAAUACAUGUUAAUUCAGGGUAUAUAAAGUAGAAGCCGGAGAAUUGCGGAGAAUACCGUAUGUAAAAAAAUUAUGUAUUUAGUUUUUCAAGAUGAAUGGAAGUAGUUCGAGAAUACUGAUUGUCAUGCGAAGUCUUCAGUAAGUAGUGAGAGGCUGUCGGUUCUUGACAUUAACUGCUCAUUUUCUAUGAUGAUAUAUAUUUUCUAUGAAUCAACGAUAUGGUAAAUAUUUUUCUAUGAAUCAAAGAAAUAAUUAAUAGUAACACUCGUGGGAAGACGGGUAAUUUUUUACGAUCAGAAGUGUAGAAGAGCGAUGUAAAAUUUUGUUAUUCGUUUUUUCUUUUAAUAAAGGAGUGUUUUCAC